GACGAACGCUGGCGGCGUGCCCAAUACAUGCAAGUCGAGCGCAGGAAAUCGACGGAACCCUUCGGGGGGAAGUCGACGGAAUGAGCGGCGGACGGGUGAGUAACACGUAAAGAACCUGCCCUCAGGUCUGGGAUAACCACGAGAAAUCGGGGCUAAUACCGGAUGGGUCAUCGGACCGCAUGGUCCGAGGAUGAAAGGCGCUCCGGCGUCGCCUGGGGAUGGCUUUGCGGUGCAUUAGCUAGUUGGUGGGGUAAUGGCCCACCAAGGCGACGAUGCAUAGCCGACCUGAGAGGGUGAUCGGCCACACUGGGACUGAGACACGGCCCAGACUCCUACGGGAGGCAGCAGUAGGGAAUCUUCCACAAUGGACGAAAGUCUGAUGGAGCAACGCCGCGUGAACGAUGAAGGCCUUCGGGUCGUAAAGUUCUGUUGUAAGGGAAGAACAAGUGCCGCAGGCAAUGGCGGCACCUUGACGGUACCUUGCGAGAAAGCCACGGCUAACUACGUGCCAGCCGCCGCCGUAACAC
rnacentral:rRNA from 1 species